UACGGUGGGGGUAAGCGUUGUUCGGAAUUACUGGGCGUAAAGGGCUCGUAGGCGGCCAACUAAGUCAGACGUGAAAUCCCUCAGCUUAACCGGGGAACUGCGUCUGAUACUGGACGGCUUGAGUUUGGGAGAGGGACGCGGAAUUCCAGGUGUAGCGGUGAAAUGCGUAGAUAUCUGGAGGAACACCGGUGGCGAAGGCGGCGUCCUGGACCAACACUGACACUGAGGAGCGAAAGCCAGGGGAGCAAACGGG
rnacentral:rRNA from 1 species